rnacentral:rRNA from 1 species
AUUGAACGCUGGCGGCAUGCUUUACACAUGCAAGUCGAACGGUAACAGGUUAAGCUGACGAGUGGCGAACGGGUGAGUAAUGCAUCGGAACGUGCCCGGUCGUGGGAGAUAACGCAGCGAAAGCUGCGCUAAUACCGCAUACGAUCUGAGGAUGAAAGCGGGGGACCGUAAGGCCUCGCGCGAUCGGAGCGGCCGAUGUCAGAUUAGGUAGUUGGUGGGGUAAAGGCUCACCAAGCCGACGAUCUGUAGCUGGUCUGAGAGGACGAGCAGCGACACUGGGACUGAGACACGGCCCAGACUCCUACGGGCGGCAGCAGUGGGGAAGUUUGGACAAUGGGCGCAAGCCUGAUCCAGCAAUGCCGCGUGCAGGAAGAAGGCCUUCGGGUUGUAAACUGCUUUUGUACGGAGCGAAAAGGCUCUCUCUAAUACGGAGGGCUCAUGACGGUACCGUAAGAAUAAGCACCGGCUAACUACGUGCCAGCCGCCGCGGUAACAC